rnacentral:rRNA from 1 species
CCACUCUUUGCAGGAGGCAGUUAUGAGACGUGAAGAUGAGUAUCUUGUAAAGAGGGAUAGGAGAAUUGGAGGGCAAGUUUGGUGCCAGCAGCCGCGGUAAUACCGACUCCAAGAGUGUGUAUGAGAGAUGCUGCAGUUAAAAAGUCCGUAGUCAUAGAAGGGCAAAGAGAGAUGCGAGGUCUCACAGUGCGAUGAUGGAGGAGCCGAUGGGGAACAUAGUAUACCAGGGCGAGAGAUGAAAUGCCAAGACCCCUGGUGGACUGAGCGAGGCGAAGGCGAUGUUCUUGUAGGCAUUCGGUGAUCAAGGACGAAGGCUGGAGUAUCGAAAGUGAUUAGAUACCGCAGUAGUUCCAGCAGUAAAAGAUGCCGACAUGCUCAUUGGACACAGUGGGCAGGGAGAAAUCUUAGAGUUCGGGCUCUGGGGAUAGUAUGCUCGCAAGGGUGAAAAUUAAAGAAAUUGACGGAGCUACACCACAAGGAGUGGAUUGUGCGGCUUAAUUUGACUCAACGCGAGGAAACUUACCAGGGCCAAGUAUUGUGUAGAAACGAGCAAUACAGGAGUGGUGCAUGGUCGUUGGAAAUUGAUGGGAUGACUUUGACCUUAAAUGGUUGAAUGAGUGAGAUCUUUUGGACAUGUUCCGCACGGAACAGGAAGGAAAAGGCUAUAACAGAUCCGAGAUGCCCUCAGAUGCCCUGGGCUGCACGCGCAAUACAAUAGCAGGUAGAGAGAGAGACAGGAAGGUGCUCAGAUGGACUAUGUGCUGUAAGGCACAUACGAAAGAGGAAUUCCUAGUAAGUGUGUAUCAACAAUGGAUAUUGAA